rnacentral:rRNA from 1 species
UACGUAGGGUGCGAGCGUUGUCCGGAAUUACUGGGCGUAAAGAGCUCGUAGGUGGUUUGUCGCGUUGUCCGUGAAAACUCACAACUCAAUUGUGGGCGUGCGGGCGAUACGGGCAGACUGGAGUACUGCAGGGGAGACUGGAAUUCCUGGUGUAGCGGUGGAAUGCGCAGAUAUCAGGAGGAACACCGGUGGCGAAGGCGGGUCUCUGGGCGGUAACUGACGCUGAGGAGCGAAAGCGUGGGGAGCGAACAGG